rnacentral:misc_RNA from 1 species
UAGAGGUGCUGAUGGAUGAAAACACUUUAAAACGACGGCGAUGACCGGCUCUCAGGUUCCUCUCUCUGAUAUAAUUUACAUUGUUGAACUAGAGAGACACGCAGGAGAGAGCAGCCGCGCUGUGUGAGCCGAUUAUCUAGUCAAUUUUACAUAUUUUAGUUGGUAGUCAUAAUAUUCGUUCGUCCCGCCAAUACGUCACUCUCAUCUGUUUUGCCGCGCACGAGCUACGGAGUAAAAACGACUGCGUCUGCAAGGAGCAUCGGAGUUUCGUGAUUUCGAUUUCUAGCUCCUCGUCGUGUUUUUCGAGUCUUAUGCUACUGGAAUGUAUUGAAUUGUUCUUACGCACCGUGCCCGUACCCUAACCUGUAAAACGUGUGCUUAAUUACAAUUCAGAACGGAAUGACAACCCAGGAAAGCCAGGUCGAAUGGGACAUAAACAUUCACUUUAUCGUACUGAGUCACCUGGAGUCCGAGGAUGCUUGCAGCGAGCAAAUGUGGCUGGCAUUUAAUAAAUGUAGUGAGCUGGGAUUGAAUCCAGGAUGGGUUAGUGAAAAGGUUUGUAAUACGAUGAAGCCAUUGAAGAAAGAUGUAUUUGUUAUAGAAGAAUUCAAAGGUGACCUUUUUGAGAAGUUAAAAAGCAAUAAAUGCUCUAGAAUUGUAUCACCAAGAUGUCUACUUAUUUGUUUUACAAAUGGAGAAUCAAUACCAGAAGGAAAGAGUCCAAUAUACACAACAGCUAUGAGUAAAAUGUGCAUUUGUGCAUCAGGUUUUGAUCAAGAAAUUAAGGAUUGGAUACAACAACGAGUUGAAUAUAUGGGAGGCUUCUUUACAAAGAAAUUCAGAGGUUGUGUUACUCAUUUAGUAGCAGAUUCUGUGAUGUCUGCAAAGUAUGAGGGUGCUGUAGAAAUGAAGAUACCAGUCAUGACAAAAGAAUGGAUAGAAGCUGUCUGGGAAACAAAUUUAAAAGAAAUUGUUAAAGCGGAUGAUAAGAUUUUUGAUAAAUAUAAAUGUCCAGUUUUUAUGAAUCUAGUAGUAACUUCGACAAAUCUUCACAAACGUCAAAAGGAAGAAGUGAAAUGUUUAAUACAAAAUUAUGGAGGAAUAUUCAUGGGUCCUCUUGAUGGAACAAAGGUUCGAGUGGUUCUAGCCUCUGAAAACGGUCCAUUAAGUGAUAAACUAAAGUAUGCCAUGGAAAAUGACAUUCCCUGUCUGAAACUUGAUUGGAUAUAUGAGAGUAUUAAAGUAGGAUACGCUCUACCUUUUCGUAAUUUUAUCAUCAAAUCUGUAAAAGCAUGUUCAACACCAGAAAAAGCAAAUAAUCGAGAAUUGCUCAACUGUUCUGAGAUUAGCUCUAUAGCACAUUAUAAACAACAAAAUAAUUACAUAAAUGAGAGUUUUAGUUCGACGAUAUCGAAUUUUUCUAGUAUACAUACAGUAACUAGUAAAUUUUCCGAUAUCGCUAAGUUGAAUGUCUUGGAUCGACUUACUUUUGGCGAAGCAAAGUCAGCUGGACCAUUUCUGGAUGGAUGUAAUAUUUACCUUGCUGGAUUUGUAACAAGCGUCAGAGAUAAAUUGAAUAGAAUAUUAAAUGUUGGAGGUGCAACACGUCUCGAUGAUAUAUCUGAUGCUGUGACGCAUGUGAUCGUUGGCGAUGAGAAUAAAGCAUCUGUAGAACUGAAAACGAUUAAAUCGAGAGGUUUAUGUCCUUACGUAUUGAAUAUAGAAUGGCUAGAGGAGAGCAUGAAAUUGAAACGGCCUGCAUCAGAAGAACUUUUUUUAUUUGAAGCAAAAGAUGAAGCAUCUAAGAAAAAUAUUGAAACACCUGCUUCACCGCUUAGUAAGAAGAAUUUACAAAUGUUGCAACAGCCGAAGAGACCUCCUGUACCAGUUUUCAAUUUCGAAGUAAUUCCACACGUGAAUGAAAAUGAGCAACCUGAUCUCGUGCAGCAAUAUUUACAAAAGGAUUUAUGCAGUAUUUCCAAAGACUUUACAAAGCCUAUUUCGGAAGACCAAAGAAAUUUGGAUAAGACUGAAAAUGCGCGUACUAGUGAUAUUUGUUCUUUAAAUGUUGCACCGCCCAAAAAUAUAGAAAAUGAUAAUACUGUGCUACUCAGCCAAAGUUGCACAGUGAACGAACAGUUGCUCAAAGGUUUAACAUUCGUCGUAGCUGGUUUUGAUAGCGAGGACAAUCACGUAGAGGAAACGAUUGUAAUGUUAGGUGGACACCUAGUCUCGAGAACUUAUAACAGUAUCCCAGAUUACGGUGUCGUGCCUAUGCAUGGAGCACCCUUACAACAUACAGUGAAUGAAAUCGUAAACGAUUUAUUUAUUGAAGAUUGCAUAAAUCAGGAACAAAUUGUGGAUCUCAAGUAUUAUCACAGACCACUAUCUAUUAGAAAACCUUGUAAUCCAUUAUCGGGAUGUGUCAUAACGAUGAGCAUGUAUACUGGAGUUGAAAGAGUUUACCUUUCAGCAUUGGCUACGGAACUUGGCGCCAUAUGUCAGGAUAUGUUCGCACGGAAAGCUAAUGCAGAGAAGAAAACACUUGGCAGUACGCAUUUGGUUUGCCCGUCUCCAGAAGGAAAUAAAUACAACGCGGCUGUAAGAUGGAAAUUGCCGGCUGUCACUGCUGAUUGGCUAAAAACUUGCGCGGAUCAAUUAAUGUUUGUAGACGAAACCCCAUUUCUCGUUGGAGAAACAAUGGCACCAGAUAAAUCAAAUAUCACCACUCCAACAAAUCUCUCGGACAUUUGCAAAAGUAGAAUAGGCUCAUCAGAAGAAAUCACAUUAAAAAAUAUUGUUACACCGAAACAUUUACUUCAGGCCAAGGACGCGUUUACCGGCGAAACUCCAUUGAAAAAUAAAAGACUCAGUCUCGUAAUGAACCAAACACCGCAAUCACCAUUUCACGUGUCCACACCAGAAACUCCAUAUGGGCAGGUUUUUAAGCCUAAUCCUUCACCAGAGACGCGAAAAGGGUGGAUUAAAUGGGUGGACAAUUUUCCAGAUUUACAAGUAUCAGAACCACCGUUAAAACGACGCGCACCUAGCACUCCGCUUUCAGAUUUGAAAAAUCAACUGUGGGAAAAACUGAAGAACAAAGGUCAAUCUGAAAUGGAACAUGAAUCGAAUAAAGCAAUGAGACUGCAACAUGAAGAUGAUUCCAUUAAGGGAAAAGUUGAGAAGCAGGCCGACAAUCAUUCUAACAAAGUCACUCCAUCAACUCCCACAUCCAUCAAUCGAAAACUCGACUUUAAUGAAAAAGAUAGCCCUAUGCCAAAUAACGAAAUAAACAUGCAAAUAGCGCAAUUGGAUCAAAUGCUAGAACGAACGUCGAAUACUCCUGAAAAUAGAUACUCGUCUGGGGAAAAUGCGAAGACGUACAACGAAGCUUCUGAUUAUAUACAAAAAUGUAUAGUAAAGGAUUCACAACCUAUUGAUGCCAUUGUAUGGGAAGAUCCGGAUCAUCCAAAACGAUCAAUCUUAAAUAAACGGUCAAGUAAACGUAGCAAUGUAAUUGACGAAGAAUAUGUCGAAGAAGCUCUUGAAGAUCAUGAAUGUGAACCAGCGACAACACGAAAAUUUAUGCUGUCGGGUAUAAAGGAAAGACAUACAUUCGAACAAGUGAUAAGAGAUCUAGGCGGAGAUGUGUCGAUGGACGCAAAUUUCGACAAUAGUGCCACCCAUCUCUUGUGCAUCAAGCUUUCCAGAAACGAAAAAAUGCUUGGCAGUAUAGCUGCUGGAAAAUGGGUCUUACAUUAUUCAUAUCUACGUGAUUCUGAACGAGAUGGCAGAUUCCUCGACGAGGAAGAAUACGAAUGGGGCAAUCCAAGAAGCAAAAACAGAAUACCAGAACCAAGUAACGAGAUCGAAAUUGCAAUAGCAGCUGCCGCUUAUAGAUGGCGAUUGAAAUUGCAGACAGAGCUGAAUGGUCCAUUUUCUAACAUAGUGGCUCUGUUAAUGGUCUCCGAAGAAAAAUAUGAUCAAUUUAAGAGACUGAUUGAAGCUGGCGGUGGCAUGGUUGUGCAAGCAAAACCACCCUACGAUGCUAGUCCAUCUGGACGCAGAAUCACUCAUUGUUUUAUUAAUGUGAAACAGAUAAAUCAGCCGGUAGACUGGGCUAUGCUGGCUAGCAAGGGUAUUCUCUGCUUCUUACCGCAAUAUCUCAGCGAUUAUUUGACAGCAAAGACACCGCUCAAUCCACGGGAUUGUGUACUUUUAGAAUUUAAGAAAUACCUGACGCUACUACCCAAGUAGCCAGAAUGGAAUCAAAAUCAUACUUAAAUUUACAAGCAUGAGCAUUUAUCAACGAUUUGGAAUCCUGCUGGUGGCAUGCUGAAUAGGCUCCGUUGAUCGAUGGGAAUCUUCCAUGAAGGAUUCAAUGCAAUCUCGUAAUCUCGUAGAACAGCUAUCAAUCCCACGGCGGUUUGUAAAAUUCCCAGUCGCAUAC